GAUGAAGAACGUAGCGAAAUGCGAUAAGUAAUGUGAAUUGCAGAAUUCAGUGAAUCAUCGAAUCUUUGAACGCACAUUGCGCCCGCCAGUAUUCUGGCGGGCAUGCCUGUUCGAGCGUCAUUUCAACCAUCAAGCCCCAGGCUUGUGUUGGAGCCCUGCGGCUGCCGCAGCCUCCCAAAACCAGUGGCGGGCUCGCUAUCACACCGAGUGCAGUAGUUUACUCUUCGCUCAGGGCGUGUGGCGGGUGCUAGCCGUAAAACCCCCAACUUCUCAAGGUUGACCUCGGAUCAGGUAGGAAUACCCGCUGAACUUAAGCAUAUUAAUAAGCGGAGGA
rnacentral:misc_RNA from 1 species